rnacentral:pre_miRNA from 1 species
UAAGUACUCCCUCCGUCCCAAAAUUCCUGUCUUAGAUUUGUCUAGAUAUGGAUGUAUCAAGUCACAUUUUAGUAUUAGAUACAUCCCUAUCUAGACAAAUCUAAGACAAGAAAUUUGGGAUAGAGGGAGUAGUUG